rnacentral:rRNA from 1 species
CCGGCCGGGAACUCAAAGGAGACUGCCGGUGAUAAACCGGAGGAAGGUGGGGAUGACGUCAAGUCAUCAUGGCCCUUACGGCCAGGGCUACACACGUGCUACAAUGGCGCAUACAAAGAGAAGCGACCUCGCGAGAGCAAGCGGACCUCAUAAAGUGCGUCGUAGUCCGGAUUGGAGUCUGCAACUCGACUCCAUGAAGUCGGAAUCGCUAGUAAUCGUAGAUCAGAAUGCUACGGUGAAUACGUUCCCGGGCCUUGUACACACCGCCCGUCACACCAUGGGAGUGGGUUGCAAAAGAAGUAGGUAGCUUAACCUCCGGGAGGGCGCUUACCACUUUGUGAUUCAUGACUGGGGUGAAGUCGUAACAAGGUAACCAAGGGCGAAUUCCAG